ensembl:lncRNA
AGGCAGUUAACCCACUGUUCCCCUGAACAGGCAGUUAACCCACUGUUCCCCUGAACAGGCAGUUAACCCACUGUUCCCCUGAACAAGGCAGUUAACCCACUGUUCCCCUGAACAAGGCAGUUAACCCACUGUUCCCCUGAACAAGGCAGUUAACCCACUGUUCCCCUGAACAAGGCAGUUAACCCACUGUUCCCCUGAACAGGCAGUUAACCCACUGUUCCCCUGAACAGGCAGUUAACCCACUGUUCCCCUGAACAAGGCAGUUAACCCACUGUUCCUGGGCUGUCAUUGAAAAUAAGAAUGUAUUCUUAACUGACUUGUCUAUUUAAAUAAAAGGUAAAAAAAUAAAUGAAAGAGUAGACCUUGUUCCAGUGCAACCCAGGAACGCUCUGUUCCCAUCCAGAGGGUGAUGUUCCCUUUCAAGGCCUCACUUCAGACAACUCCUUGGGUGGAGCAGCCGAGUACAACACUAGUCAUAGUUAAUCAUGCAAUGACUCAGCACUUCUCAUGGACCCCAAACCAAACAGCACAAUGACAAGUUAGCCUGAGAGCCAGUCUGUUUGACAGUGUUAAACCAACUCCUUGACAAUGACAGAUAUGGGUUGGGCAAGACCACAAACAGAUCUGGGACCAGGCUUUACAACAAGUACGACUAACUAGUAAGACUUUUAUUGUAUUAAAUAUUUAAUUUUCCAAGAGCAAUGUACAAUUUGCAACUUAUUGAAAACAGGGAAAUAUGCCUGGUUGUCGUACAAGAACAGAAGACAUUUACUAGAAAAAGCUGGAGGAAACAGAACAAACAAAAAUCAGAAAUCUGCACAUCUCUUUCCAUACAAGACGGAAUUGUUUAUAAUUCAUUCCGGAACCGGAGUUUGGAUAUUCCGGAAUACCCAGCUCCCUCGGGUGGAGAACAAGUUGUUUGUUCUGACGUAGGCUCACAAUAAGCAAAACAGUGGUAAAACUAACUACAAAUUAUUAAUAUAUAUUUUUUUUAAACAUCCAAAACAUUUCCAUUCACUCAAAAGAGAAAACUGCAUUGUAAUAUUUUCUUCUGUUUUAAAUUUAGCCGUAAAAUGAACAAGAGGGAGAAGUUUCAAAUAAAUAGAUACAUUUUUAUCAGUGCCGAUUUUCAAUCCUCAAGUUUUAAAUCCAUAUAAUUUAGUUAAAAAAACAAUAACACAAAGAACUGACAUAUUUUGAACUUCCUUUUAUAAGUUAAUGAUUGAAAAACAAACACUUAUCAAUCUAAAGUAGAUGUCUAACCUUAAACCUGACGUAAGGCGCCUUCUUGUCUGAAAAUAUCCUUCUGUCUCUGUAGUGAAACUUUAAGACUGGUCCCAGAUCUGUAUAUCUACAUCCCAAAUGGCACCCUAUUCCCUAUAUAGUGCACAGCUUCUGACCAGAGGCACCCUAUUCCCUAUAUAGUGCACAGCUUCUGACCAGAGGCACCCUAUUCCCUAUAUAGUGCACAGCUUCUGACCAGAGGCACCCUAUUCCCUAUAUAGUGCACAGCUUCUGACCGGAGGCACCCUAUUCCCUACAUAGUGCACUACUUUAGACCAGGUCCCAUAGGGUAGUUCAAUGUAAACGGGAACGGGGUGCCAUUUGGGAUGCCCAGUUUGUAUUUUAGAGACAAGUCUUGUCACAAUAAUAGUCAGAGGAAUUGCCUCCAACGACAAGCAGAUCUGAGACCAGGAGAAACAUGGCACCUUCAGUCACACAGCAGCAAUACAGUAGCAUGGCUAUAGAGGUCUUCUCUCUCUGACCAGCCUAUUCCCCAUGUAGUUCACUACCUUUUAACACCUUAUCCCCCAUGUAGUGCCCUACUUUAUAACACCUUAUCCCCC